rnacentral:rRNA from 1 species
UACGGGGGGGAGCAAGCGUUGUUCGGAUUUACUGGGCGUAAAGGGUGCGUAGGCGGUCGUGACAAGUCACUUGUGAAAUCCCGGUCCGCUUAACUCGGAACGGUCAAGUGAUACUGUCGGACUAGAGUACAGAAGGGGCAACUGGAAUUCUCGGUGUAGCGGUGAAAUGCGUAGAUAUCGAGAGGAACACCUGCGGCGAAGGCGGGUUGCUGGGCUGA